AAGAACAAAGCUCCAUCGCCUGCCUACAUGCACACAUAGGCAUACACGUCCAGCAUUACAGGAUAGCCAAAAGCACAACCAUCCAGAAUGUCUACAUGUACACAUAGGCAUACAUACGUACAUUCUUAAGACCACUAUUACAUCACAGGCAAAAGUGCAAAAUAAGGGAUCUAGUUUUAGUUAGAAACAUAUGCUAGUAGAAGAUCCGUUCAACUCACAAAACAUGCCUCUUGAAACUUGUGGAUACAACCUGGCAGAAAUCAGUAACAACAUUAAAGGUUCAGAGCCACUGAAUAUGACAUAGGGUUUGGACACAGUAAGUAAAUUCAUCAUAUGGGGAAUUUUCAGAAUGGUGCAACUGAGAGCAAAUGAUGGAUAAACAUCAAUAUACUUCAUUCAUGUAACUAAAUCUGCAGCGAUAAACUAGCUGGAAGGCUGGAAAUUAACAUAACAUCCCCACAAAGGCACAAACAAAAAUUUCGGAAAUAGCCUGCAGAUUGUAAUACGGUCAUAAGUUCACAUGCCGCUGGUGAACAAUUACCUCAUGCAAUGAAAUUUUAUAUUUCGUGAGCUAGCAAAGUUGAUUUAUCACAUCAGUUGCACUUUUGCAAGACCUAGGUGGAAGCAACACUUGGGCUCCCUGAGUUAUCAAUUACACAAAUCAACAGAUUUGUUAUACAUCAAGAAUUAUUCGCAGAUGGAAGCAAAGAUCUUAAUAGAACUUCCUAGAAUUAAGAAAGCAUCUAACACAUGGCUAAAUGAAAGAUGGCAGUGGAUGAUCACUGAAUUGUUCGCAUUUAUGCAGCCUACAGCCCUUGAUGGGUGGCAGUAAAUAUGAGUUUGGUCUGUUUCAUACAUGAGAGCCGCAAAGUAAGAUUAUAGAUUUAUUAACAAAUCAAUUGUAUCAGGUCAGAAAUGGAUUAUAUUUUAAAUUUUGCAACAGGAAUAGUUAACUUUUGUCUAUACUCGAGGUGAUUUACAACUGAGGUUCGAUCUUUUCAUAAAGUAGUGGCUGAUCCUACAUUUCCUGGUGCUACAGAUUCUCCUAUCAACUUGCAGAAUUGCUGAAUAUUAUGGCAAGCUAUGAUUACUUUUCAAUAGAAUGGCCCUUGUGAUCAGAGUUGCAAUACCUUCUAACAAUCUGCAAUGCCGUGUAGAUGUGGGGACUACUACCGGCUUUCAUGGUUGCUUCUGCAUAACCUUGUGAUAAAUCUCCAUCUGCAUAUAUACAUAGGAUUAUCAGUAGGAUGCAAUUUGACCUACAGCUGCAGAAAUAAACGUGAUCAGAAAGAAGUUUUACAUAUCUACGAGGCCAAGCAAUAGAUCGCCCGAGAACAUUCGGCAUGGUCCUCACAUUUCCAGGGAGAAGGAUUCAACUCAGGUUCUAUACUACUAUAGAGAGUAGUGCUGGACAUCUCAUAGAAAAUUAACUCAAUACAUUGAUUAAGGGUCAGUUUGGUUUGCACCCUGGGAUCCCUGCCUGAAAUUUUUUGGUGCCUGGCAUGCGCCUGGAAAGUUGAAGUUUUCUGCCUGCCCAGGCUAGCCACGCAGCGGUGUGUUUGGUUUCUACCCUAGCCUGCUGCUUUGUCCUUUUGUGAUUAGAAAACCUUUUUUAAACAGUGGACUGUACCUCCUGUGUCCUUUAUUAGUGCCAGGCGAGGCUGCGGCCCGUCCAGGCGAACGAAACCGAACGCCUGGACCAGGCUAAUCACUCUGCCUGGGCAUUUUCUAUAAUUUUUUUAUUUUCACCAGGCUAAUCACAUAACCAGGCCAGGCAAGUAUUUUCUUUCCCAGGCACAAACCAAACAACUACCAGGCCAACUCCAGGCACUAUCCAGGCCAGGCAUAUAUAGGUGUGGAUGCAAACCAAACUGACCCUAACUCCGACAGUAACUCGUAAUUCUACUCAAGUGUAUAGCCAACAAGCAUUAUGAGAGAAUAAGACAAAUAUGGAACAUAACCCCCCCUUUUUUACAGUGGAUAUCACUCCAAAUCUCCCCUCUCUCUAGUUUCUAUCUUCUAUUUAUAUUUUAAAAUCACUUUUUAACAAGACAUGUAGCUGCCGAGAAGCUUCAUUUAAACAGACCAACUAUGCAUGUGAGGAGAAGGCAACCCAGAUUAAGGAGAGAUCAUUCAGAUCACGAUAUGUAUAGCCAUGUGUAUUUGAAUUCAACAUUGAUGGCUAACCUUAUAACAUGUUUAGCUUGGAAAUACCACCAAAUGAACAUCACGAUGACUUGAAAGGUAAUGCUACAGGGGGAGUUUACAUAUUUGCAAAAUGGAAAGAGGUGUCACCACAAGCCAAAGCAGUAUAUUUUGGCAUGGCUCAAUGGCCAUGAGCACAAAGAGCAUGAGAGCAGAGGCUUGCCUCCUCCCCCAGAACCAAACAAGGGAGGUGUUUUAAGUGAGCGUAGCGUCGGAGCUAGCAGAGCUGCUUGGCUAGCCAAACUUGUGCCCAGCAACCUCGCUGGUGAUGUUGGAUGUCUCGUGUGUACCUGCGUGAGGAAACCAAACAACAGAGCUUCAGGGAAGGGAAGGGAUUGGAAGAUGAAAAGCCAAGAUUAAUUCUAACAAAACAAGAACUUAAAAUGUUGUUUCUAGUAGGUUUCAAGCAUAGGAAAUAAUUACAGAGCAAUCAGCAAGUCCACCCAUCAAGCCAUUGUGAAAGCAUGCAAAUCCAUUUCAUGGAAGGUGAAAAGCCAAGAUUAGAUCCUAAGAAAACCAAAACUUAAAACUGCUACUGCUGGCAGGCUUUCCCCACAGGCAAUAAAUGCAGAGCAAUUGCAAGUUAGCAAGUCCAGCCAUCAUGCUACUAGCUAUUAAGCAGACAAAAAUGAACAGAUGACCUAGAAACAAUUCGAUGAACUUAAUUUCGUACUCUCCCUAUUUUCUGUAGGCUAAAUAAGUUAGUCCAAGACAACAAUAUUCUCAAGCAAAACAAAUUGUGGAAAAAACUAUAACUUUCUGCUGUGAAAUCCCCCCAAAGGACAUUUGUUGCAUCCUUAUACAACAGUGUAUGGGAGACUCAUAUUUUACUAUCUAACCUGCAUAUCAAUCACGAUCCCAACUUUUUCCAUUGUGCGCAAAUAUGAUUCUGCAGUUUCCACCUUAACAGUUGUCAAUCUGUCAUGUACAAAAGAGUGAAAUCCCUCUACAGAAAAAUUAGAUAGCACUUCUUUUAUCAACAAAAUACUGUAUUCCACCAUUUUUAGGACUAUAGAAGUUUUGUCAAGAACAUUAACUGAUAAGAUUUUACUGCAAUAUGCACUUAACUUGGUGCUAGUGAUUUGCAUGGAUAUGUGUCAUUUUUUCUUAGAUGGGAUUGCUGCUGCAUAUUUAUUCAUAGCAGAAAUAAGAUCCACAAGGGAGGGUUCAUCCAGUUUUAGUCUGACCAUACACAUACAUACAAAUUGCUAGAACCAAAACAUUUCAUAUAUCAGUACAAUUGCAAGUCGCAGGGCUGGAUGAUGAAGAAACAAAACAUACAGUAUAGGUUGAGAUUUGGUGGGUAUGAAAACCAUACCUUUGCUUGAGGGCUGGCUUGGCCGUGGUGUUGAUGAAGCGCGUAUAGGAAAGGAGAGCAAAUCGAGAGAGGGGAGCGGUCCUUGUCCCGUAUACUAGGGUUGGAGUAGCGCCGAUAGUGGGGCUGAGCCAUGCGGCGUGCCAUGAAGAGCUCUUUCUCCUCCUCCUCCUCCGUCAGGUCCCUCUAUGGGUAUGCUGAGUUCUUCUGCAGCAGUAGCACGAA
rnacentral:lncRNA from 1 species